rnacentral:rRNA from 1 species
UGCCAGCAGCCGCGGUAAUACGAAGGGGGCAAGCGUUACUCGGAAUUAUUGGGCGUAAAGCGUGCGUAGGCCGCUUUAUAAGUUAUUAGUGAAAUUCUUAAGCUCAACUUGAGAAUUGCUUAUAAAACUGUAAAGCUUGAGUGUUAGAGAGGGUAGAAGAAUUUUUGAUGUAGGGGUGAAAUCCGUAGAUAUCAAAAGGAAUACCAAAGGCGAAAGCAUCUACCUGGCUAACUACUGACGCUGAGGUACGAAGGCGUGGGGAGCAAACAGGAUUAGAUA